ACCUUAUAGUAAUGAGAGCCAUUUCUUCAUCCUGCUCUUCAUUUUUCGUAUCAUCAGUUUCUUCAUCAAGUUGAGCCAUGGAUUUGAGGGCGAUUGUCUUCUUCUUUUUGACUUCUUCUUCUUGGUAUUGUUUCAUGCUCAACUCAUGUGUCAUUAGUGAUCCUAGAAGCUCUUCCAAGGGUAGAAUGUUCAGAUCCUUG
rnacentral:lncRNA from 1 species